GAGAAGACUUUAGAUAUGAUCCAGAGUACCACGGGACACGUGAAACCCUGUGGGAAGCAGGAGGGACCACCCUCCAAGGCUAAAUACUACCUAGUGACCGAUAGCGUAUAGUACCGUGAGGGAAAGGGGAAAAGAACCCCGGGAGGGGAGUGAAAUAGAACCUGAAACCCUGCACUUACAAGCUGUGGAAGCACAUUUCUUGUGUGACCGCGUACUUUUUGUAGCACGGGCCAACGAGUUACGGUAAGUAGCAAGGUUAAGCACUUAAGGUGCGGAGCCGUAGCGAAAGCGAGUUUUAACUGAGCGUUCAGUUACUUGACGUAGACCCGAAACCGGGCG
rnacentral:rRNA from 1 species